UACGUAGGUGGCAAGCGUUGUCCGGAUUUACUGGGCGUAAAGGGCUUGUAGGCGGUUCGUUAAGUCUGGUGUGAAAUCUCCCGGCUCACCUGGGAGGGUUCAUCGGAUACUGGCGGACUUGAGGUAGGUAGAGGAAAGCAGAAUUCCUGGUGGAGCGGUGAAAUGCGUAGAUAUCAGGAGGAAUACCAGUGGCGAAGGCGGCUUUCUGGGCCUAUCCUGACGCUGAGGAGCGAAAGCGUGGGGAGCAAACGGG
rnacentral:rRNA from 1 species